rnacentral:piRNA from 1 species
UAGAUUGAAAACCUCGCUGUGCAGCGAC